ACACCGUUAGUUUGCAUGCAACGAACUGAUUAAAGGGAAUGAAGACAGAAACGGAACUGUUAUGCACAUAAACAAAAAAUGGUCAUACGAAACUUCCAAAAUUCUCACAUCACUCAAGGCAAGUAAGAAAACAAGAUUAACAAAAUUUCUAUAUAGGGUAAUGAGCCCUAACAUGAAAGGCAUUGUACAUGAAAUAGAUAAAGUUUUAACAAAAUAGUUUGGGAUCUAGAAGGUUAACUAUCACAAUCAAAAGAAAACGGAAUUGUGCCUAACGGCAAGAACUGUAUAACAGGAAAGAUUUUCGACAUCAAUCAGCUAGAACCUUCAAUAUGCUGACGACAAUCAAAUAUACAGAAAAUUCAAAUAAAGAGCACCAUCAUUCCCACAUGACGGAAACCGGUGUAAUUAUCCGUGCCUACAAACUUGGGAGAUGUUGCGCGGGAAAAACAACUGCCUCAGUUUGAGUUUUCCAUUGCAAUCACCUGCUUGAUCCCGUACCAAAAGCUCAUUUACAAAAAUUCGUGCAGUUUUUUCAUACUUUUCUUUCCACUGCUGACCAUUUGCGAAGACUUUUUGUCUCAAAGCCUUAGUCCCGAUCCAUCUCCAUUCCAGCAGCUGCAAAGAACCUUGUGCUGGAUAUAUGAGCAAACAUGAAUGUCAGUUUGUAUGCUCUCAAAUAACAUUUCAACAUUAAAUAAUUUGAAUACAUCCUUUCCAAUUUCUCCGUAACCAAAUUAUUUGGGUCUGGUCCAAAUUUUGAAAGGGGAAAAAGAAAAUUUACGACCUCAGCAAACCAAAUAAGCAGAACUUGGAGGCCUUAAAAUAAAAACAUCAAUAUUAACAACAUAUCAGAGACGUGAUUAGAGGAUAUGGCAUGCAACAAGGAUUCUGGCUUUACUAAGCCUAUAUACUUCAUACUGGAGACACAAUGAAUCACCACGUGGUAACAAGGCAUUUGAGAAUCAGUAAAAACAGCAAAAUAGGAGGAAAUUGACAAUUACACAAGCUUAUUGACUCUCAGAUAGACUAGAUUACCAUCUAGUUUUAGGAAGAAUUUCUUGGCAGGCACCAAACAUGUCACCAAUUGAUGGAGCACAAAGGGAACUGGAAGACACAUUAAAAUGUUAAACAACUAUCUUAGACAUAAAUAGAGGAUAUAGCACAGCAACAAGGAUUCCGGCAGAGAUUACACACCUAGACUAAGUCAGAUAAGGCCACUAAUAUUGCUCAGGCAAGUAAAACACAUGUUUUUUGGGCUAAAAGAUGUGAUUUCCUCUCCAGGGGGGAAAAUUUGCUUCAAUCUAAUUUUUUCUGCUCACGAAAUAAGAUGAUACAGAGGAGUUAAGACAGUGGAGACCGGGACAACCACCAACACUGAACACUUCCAGCUCAGAGUUUUUAGUUUACCCCCCCAAUAAAUUAAAAAAUUUGGGCUCGAAUAGUGCUAAACAGGUGGACGGGGACAAAAUAUUACCUUUGUCGUUAUUUGAACAAAGUAGAUGACUGAUCCUCAGACACAAACUUUGCACUACAAACUUGGCAUCUCAACGCUUUCCACCCCAAAACCAAGCAAAACGGCCACCAAAAAACCAAAAUACUAGAGGUGUGACAAAAAGUCCACAAUCCUUCAGAACGUAAAUUGCCUAUUAGAAAUUGAGAAUCCAAAUUCCUAGAUACGAAAAAUAGCGACCGGUAUAAAAUUCUCUAGUGGUAUUUCUAUGACCGGCCUUUGCAAGUUUCGCCAAGACGCAGACAAUGAAAUAUUGAGUUUCCUUCUCUUGUAGAUAGCCAGUGAGUUUUGCUUUUGGGUAAUUCCAAUAGAACAUUUUUAAGAUGCAAAAAAUCCUAUAAUUCUGAAACUUGCAGACUGUUCAUCCCAAGAAUUUUACCGAUGGACAAAUUGACAAGAAAUGAUUUUAGUUAUCAAAAGCAAAUUAAAGUCAAAAUCUUCCCUCUAGUUUCACUUGAUUUUCAUUCCAUCCCUCUAUAUUGAUUGUAGCGUUCUAAUGAAAUCACUAUGAUCUGGGUGGUUUAAUUUAUUAUAUCUACAAGAAUAACCGGAAUCUAGCAAACAAUUAACUUGUAGGCUGCCACGAAUCAGAAAAUUUCCAAAUAUGGUAAUCUCGAAGAACAUGGCAAAAACAACACGCAAUAAUAGAUAUCUGAUAGAUUGUUUAGCAGGACAUAGACCUCACUCCGCAGGCUGGUAGCCGGAGUUUCAACCUUGUGGUAUACCAGUGUUCAAAUUUUAUCGCCAAAAACGGUUUCAAGACGGGAUACUCAUUUCCCAUACACUAUUUGGGAACGUGAUAAACUUUCAAGACAUCUUUAAGUGGGAACUUUUUGGUAGGAUUCCUACAUUUUGAGGAAACAAAAAAAAAAAAAAAUAGAAUAAUUUCCAAAUUUCUUUACAAUCAUUGGAACGAAUAAGAAAGAAAACACUUCUGGAAUUUUUUUUUUUUUUCAUUGUCCCAUACUAAUAUAGUGUUCGUCCAACAAU
rnacentral:lncRNA from 1 species